ensembl:lncRNA
CUGGGGGCUGCGGGGUUGGUGUCUCUGAGAAAAGCCCAAAAGCUGCUCUCAUCGGUUAUCAAUAGGCAAUAAAUUACAUUAACCUCCCCAUGCUGAAGCAGCUCUGCCCAUGGUGGCUCUGUGUGAGCAGAGAGUGAAAAGGCAUCCGAGUGUGACCAGACACCAAUGGAUAAGGAGAUUCCUGGAGCAGAGGUUUGCCUUCAAGCAAGGAGAACUGUGUGAUGUGCAAGACUUCUGGCUCUGCAAGCAGCUCAACAAGGGGUUUGAUGGAUCUUAUCUUAUCUCACCUUGGUGCAUCUCUCUGCUCAAAUCUGAUUCAGCACAUGAAAAGUCCAGCAGCAGACUCCUGCGACCACGCCUGGAGCUGGGCUGACAGACGGAGCAAGGACGACGUCCUGAGCUUUGGCUUGGCUGCUGUAUGGGGAAUAAUUCUUGUGGGCCCCUUUCUGCUUGUGUGAGCGUUUUCGGAGCAUCUUCAGAAGCACCAGCCCUCUCCUCUGUCGUAUUAUUUUUGUUUGUAAAUCCUGGCUGAAGAAGGAUCUCGGCUCAAACAUAAAGCUCCAUCUGACCUGAGCAGCACGGGGCAAAUCUGGGAUCAAGCCUGUGAAGAAAACGGGUUUAUUAGCCUUAUAAAUUGAAUCUGGAGUUCUUGGUGCAAAUAACCUAGUACCCUCCCAAGUGAUUCUGCUUUAAUGAGAAUUGUCAAAGCUGCAGGUCUGACAGAUGUGAUAAAGAUUGGACAACACUAGGGGUGGACAGCCAGGUUCCAGUGUGCUUCUGCCCAGCCUAGAAGAGCUCCCUCAGCAACACCACGGCUUCUCUCCCUACGGAUGGAGGGAAGUUCCCAACAUAUUCUCACAUUCCUCCAGUUAAAAACUUCCCACCCACAGACAUCCCAGAGCAUCCCUUUGGAGAACGAAACACAAAGGGAAUCCAAGAUGAUGCUUGGCUUCCUGCUGCUGAGACAAAUAGUGAGGCUGUUAAACUCUACCAUUGUCCCACGUCCUUUAGAGUGGAAAGAGUUUGUACUCCUUGCUCUAAGAUUUACGCAGCAGUGCUCUCCAACGCCAGGCAGCUGGGAAGUCCCCAUGUGAAACCUCUCCACAAGCUGAUGGGAAGCAGCAAGACCCACACUGCCUUCAUCAUUGUCAUCCCCAUCAAUGGAGCCAACGGGUCAGAAAACUCCCAUCCGUUACACCUAUGGCAUGCCAUCAGCUCGCAGGUGAUGAGGAAAAGCAGAUGCAGUUUUUGGUGAGCCAGUUGUUCUCCCGUUUUGCACAUCCCAAAAUGAGCUUCAAGAUUCCAAGCAUGCUUCACGCUGUAGGGUUCUGUCCACAGGGUCUGGGCUGGAUGUGACCUUAGGAGUGAAUGCAGUGUGGGGAACAGAAAAAUUCAGCAAAAAAAGAGCAAAUGUGUUAACGGAGGGCAAAAAAAAAACACACAUCAUGUAGUUCCCUCUAUUCUUAGUUUUAUGCAUUCGGCCAGUUCUGGAGUGACUGAAAACCUGAGAAUUUGAAAGGAAUGUUGUGAUUUCAGCCGAGUUCAAUAUUCUCUUCAAUAUUUUGAAAAGUGGAAGUCUUAGGCAGCUGAACAGAACUUUGCCCAUUGACAAUUCCUGCUUAGAGAAUAAACUUAGAAUAAAUAAAGGCAUCAUAGUGGGAAUUGGCUGGAGUAAACCAUUCUGUGCUGCAGUAAAAUUCAAUUCUAGGUGGUUUCAGUUGCGAUCUCCAAUACAAACCCUGAAUGUUGCUGUCCUGCAAACGCUUCUUUAUUGGAAAGCAGUCCCAGUGUCCCAGAAAACCCCCAAAGGCCUUCCUUUGCCAUAUGCCUGCACUCAGCUGCAAGUUGUUCAUGCUGCGCUCAUGACGGUGGGCAUCCACCUCACUUCAGCCUUUCAGACCCGAAGUAUCAAGCCUAAACCUACUGCCACGGUUCCCUUGUUUUUCAGAGGGAGGUUGGUACUGCAGCCUCCUACAGCUCUGCAGGCAGGGUGCUUGCUUCCAGCUGACCACGCUCAGGGAGAUGUACUAGGCUACUCGGUGAUUCCUAUUCCUCCUCCUGUUACGUUUUUCUUCCCUACCUGCCUUAACAACACUCUGUUUACGCUAUCUCAGGCCAAGGAUCAAAGUGCUAUUCCCCUCUGCCAAGAGCGAUUUAGCAGUGCCUUCCUUGGACUUGCUUUGUUAUAACUUUUGCAUUGCCCGGGUGCUGAGUUAUUCAUUAUGCGCAGGCUGCAGAGACAAUUGUAUGCGUUCCUCUUCCUGUCUGUGCAAUAUUUUGACAUUUCCCUGUGUCUAUUGGAAUUCAGUCCUGUCUUUAAAUAAAUAUCUUGCUUUCCCAUGGGAAGAGCUCCAGGAGCUCCU